rnacentral:rRNA from 1 species
GAUGAACGCUGGCGGCGUGCCUAAUACAUGCAAGUCGAGCGAACAGACGAGGAGCUUGCUCCUCUGACGUUAGCGGCGGACGGGUGAGUAACACGUGGAUAACCUACCUAUAAGACUUGGAUAACUUCGGGAAACCGGAGCUAAUACCGGAUAAUAUAUUGAACCGCAUGGUUCAAUAGUGAAAGACGGUUUUGCUGUCACUUAUAGAUGGAUCCGCGCCGCAUUAGCUAGUUGGUAAGGUAACGGCUUACCAAGGCGACGAUGCGUAGCCGACCUGAGAGGAUGAUCGGCCACACUGGAACUGAGACACGGUCCAGACUCCUACGGGAGGCAGCAGUAGGGAAUCUUCCGCAAUGGGCGAAAGCCUGACGGAGCAACGCCGCGUGAGUGAUGAAGGUCUUCGGAUCGUAAAACUCUGUUAUUAGGGAAGAACAAAUGUGUAAGUAACUAUGCACGUCUUGACGGUACCUAAUCAGAAAGCCACGGCUAACUACGUG